GACGAACGCUGGCGGCGUGCUUAACACAUGCAAGUCGAACGGAAAGGCCCUGCUUUUGUGGGGUGCUCGAGUGGCGAACGGGUGCGUAACACGUGAGUAACCUGCCCUUGACUUUGGGAUAACUUCAGGAAACUGGGGCUAAUACCGGAUAGGAGCUCCUGCUGCAUGGUGGGGGGUGGAAAGUUUCGGCGGUUGGGGAUGGACUCGCGGCUUAUCAGCUUGUUGGUGGGGUAGUGGCUUACCAAGGCUUUGACGGGUAGCCGGCCUGAGAGGGUGACCGGCCACAUUGGGACUGAGAGACGGCCCAGACUCCUACGGGAGGCAGCAGUGGGGAAUAUUGCACAAUGGGCGGAAGCCUGAUGCAGCAACGCCGCGUGCGGGAUGACGGCCUUCGGGUUGUAAACCGCUUUCGCCUGUGACGAAGCGUGAGUGACGGUAAUGGGUAAAGAAGCACCGGCUAACUACGUG
rnacentral:rRNA from 1 species